AUCUUAAAAAAAAAUAACCUUAGUUAAAGGACUUUACAAUGCAAAGAGAAUGCAAAAUAAAUGGUCAUAUUCAGUCACUAAGUAACAGAGUGGGCUUGUGUGUCAUAGUGGUUGUCAGGUUGUAAUAAAUGUCACCAACAUAAUUGUGUGCUCUCAAAAUGACUGUGCCUAAUCUUUUAGGUCCUAAAUCUAGAAAUGCACUUUUUCUUCAAAGUAGAAAAAUUAGUAAUUAUAACAUUUAUUGUACUUUUACCAGAUCUGAGAUCUAUACUAAAUACAUAUACUUUACAUUCAUGUAGAGUUGGCUCUGGGUGUUAAACACAAGUCAUUCAGAUGCUUUUACUAAGACAUCUCACUGGCCCAAAAUCAUAGAUACAGAACUAUGUUAGAAGGAUCCAGUUAUUCAUUUUCCCUCUCUCUUCUCCCUUCUUCUGUUUUUUCUUUCCUUAGAUCUUCCCUGGGAUGGAAUGUACAUGCUCUGUGCACUCCUACAAAGAGAUCCAUAUGCUCCACCUGCUGAAGAGACUAUUAUCGUCGGAUGGAGAAGCGGGCACCCUGUUCCCUCUGCAGAAGUGCCUCUAUUGGCCAAGUUGGCUGCUGUUUUACAAGUCAAAAGCUGGCCUUUCAACUGCCAGCCUGCAGCUCCCACGUGAGACUGGAAAAUUGAGCUGCUCUCUCUCCCUGCAGUGACCCACUGAGUAAUAAAGGUUUGCCCAGUUGC